GCGGUCGUAGCUCAGCUGGAUAGAGCACGAGAUUCCUAAUCUCGUGGUCGUGGGUUCGAAUCCCACCGAUCGCACCA
rnacentral:tRNA from 1 species